UACGUAGGCAGCGAGCGUUAUUCGGAUUCACUGGGCGUAAAGGGUGCGCAGGCGGUUGUGUGUGUCAGGUGUGAAAGCCCGGGGCUUAACCCCGGAAUUGCGCCUGAAACUACAUGACUAGAGCAUUGGAGAGGGUAGCGGAAUUCACGGUGUAGCAGUGAAAUGCGUAGAUAUCGUGAGGAACACCAGAGGCGAAGGCGGCUACCUGGACAAUUGCUGACGCUCAGGCACGAAAGCGUGGGGAGCAAAAGGG
rnacentral:rRNA from 1 species